ensembl:lncRNA
GAAGGAACCAAGUCCUCAACUGAAACACUCGUGUUUGUCCACAGACAGGAAAGACACCAGGAAACUUUCUCAAAGAAGUGCAGCUCAUGGAUAACACACUUCCUGUCAGUCAGAAUGAGGCUGGAGCCAAACACAGAAAGGUGCUUUUGUCCAGAUGAGCCCAGAGAAGAAAGACAAGUUUUCACAGACAUCAGAACCUCAGAGAGGUGAAACAUGAGGUUGGAGUCCUCGUCAGCAUCCAGAAGAGCUGCUGUGAAACCCUCAGUACUCAUGACAGACUGAUGGCACAAACACAUCAUGAUUCAAACAUAAGGACAAACAUGGAGCUCCUGAUCCUCCUGCAUGAGAACAAGCUGACAUGACCGCUGUGUCUGAGAGUGUCUCCCUGUCACAGUGACAAUAACACAGCUGCUGAUCUGAGCUCACAGUCAUUAAACUGACCUGAGGUGAAGGCGAUGAUGGUAAACAGGACGGUGUGUGCUGAGUGAGGAGCAGCUGUGUCCUGAUGAUCCAGAGAGGUUGAAGCAGCAGCAGCUUGUGUGUAGAGACGCUCUGACUGGGCCAUGUUACUGCGAGAUGGAGAGGAGAGCUUCAUCCAGCAGUGACUGUCAGAUGCAUGAGAAGAAGUGCAGAUGACUGUCAGUGCUGCAGAGUGAACUGCUCUGAGAACAGCUCCACUGUCAGACACAAUGUAGAGUCCAGCAUCAUCCCUGUGUGUCCCUCUGGAUCUGACAGAGGAUCAUCAGUGUAUCUGGACUGCUCUGCUGGACUCUUUCUGACACUGGCUUCAGACCCUCCUGGAUCAAACUCACCUGGAAAGGCUUUCAAGCACCUCUGAAUAGAUCUGAAUACAGAAUAUAUUUGAUAUAUACUGUAGUUGUACUGUAGAGUUAGAUAUUGCAGUUUGUCUCUUGUAAAUACAGUCUGUGAGCAGCUAUGAGCUGAAAUAUCUUUCUAGAAACACUAAAUGUUUUCACUCUUCUGUUAGUUUUUCAUAUAUUUACUGAACAUUAAUAUUGAUUCCACCUGUCUCACCAGUCGAUCAGGUUAAAAUGAUACAUGAAAAAAGUUAAAAUUUUCUCACAGGUGGACUUUUUCAUGCUUUUAUACAUAAUAACAGGACACAUGUUAUCUGACCACAGCUGUAGUUUCUAUGCUGCACGUCUUCAAUCGUUUAGAUAACAGAGGCAUCAAGUGGUUUAGAGGGAGAACUGCAGGAGGUGGAGGUGUGUUUUCACAUGAAAAACCUUUUUUUAUUAUUAUCUUUUUAGGCAUAUGUGCAAAUAUAUGCCAACACUAAUUUAAAUGUCACAAAUCCAGAGCUGAAUAAAA